rnacentral:rRNA from 1 species
GACGAACGCUGGCGGCGUGCUUAACACAUGCAAGUCGAACGGAAAGGCCCUGCUUUUGUGGGUUCCCGGGUGGCGAACGGGGGAGUUACCCGUGAUUUACCCGCCCUUUACUUUUGGAUUACUUUCGGGAAACUGGGCUUAUUCCCGUUAGGAGCUCCCUCUUCCUUGUGGGGGUUUGGAAGUUUUCGGCGUUGGGGGUUGGACUCGGGGCUUUUCAGUUUGUGGUUGGGGUGUUGGCUUACCAAGGCUUUGACGGGUAGCCGGCCUGGGAGGGGUACCGGCCACAUUGGGACUGAGAUACGGCCCAGACUCCUACGGGAGGCAGCAGUGGGGAAUAUUGCACAAUGGGCGGAAGCCUGAUGCAGCAACGCCGCGUGCGGGAUGACGGCCUUCGGGUUGUAAACCGCUUUCGCCUGUGACGAAGCGUGAGUGACGGUAAUGGGUAAAGAAGCACCGGCUAACUACGUG